rnacentral:rRNA from 1 species
GACGAACGCUGGCGGCGUGCUUAACACAUGCAAGUCGAACGGAAAGGCCCUGCUUUUGUGGGGUGCUCGAGUGGCGAACGGGUGAGUAACACGUGAGUAACCUGCCCUUGACUUUGGGAUAACUUCAGGAAACUGGGGCUAAUACCGGAUAGGAGCUCCUGCUGCAUGGUGGGGGUUGGAAAGUUUCGGCGGUUGGGGAUGUACUCGCGGCUUAUCAGCUUGUUGGUGGGGUAGUGGCUUACCAAGGCUUUGACGGGUAGCCGGCCUGAGAGGGUGACCGGCCACAUUGGGACUGAGAUACGGCCCAGACUCCUACGGGAGGCAGCAGUGGGGAAUAUUGCACAAGGGGCGGAAGCCUGAUGCAGCAACGCCGCGUGCGGGAUGACGGCCUUCGGGUUGUAAACCGCUUUCGCCUGUGACGAAGCGUGAGUGACGGUAAUGGGUAAAGAAGCACCAGCUAACUACGU